rnacentral:rRNA from 1 species
GAUGAACGCUGGCGGCGUGCCUAAUACAUGCAAGUCGAGCGAACAGAUGAGGAGCUUGCUCCUCUGACGUUAGCGGCGGACGGGUGAGUAACACGUGGAUAACCUACCUAUAAGACUGGGAUAACUUCGGGAAACCGGAGCUAAUACCGGAUAAUAUAUUGAACCGCAUGGUUCAAUAGUGAAAGACGGUUUUGCUGUCACUUAUAGAUGGAUCCGCGCCGCAUUAGCUAGUUGGUAAGGUAACGGCUUACCAAGGCAACGAUGCGUAGCCGACCUGAGAGGGUGAGCGGCCACACUGGAACUGAGACACGGUCCAGACUCCUACGGGAGGCAGCAGUAGGGAAUCUUUCGCAAUGGGCGAAAGCCUGACGGAGCAACGCCGCGUGAGUGGUUAAGGUCUUCGGAUCGUAAAACUCUGUUAUUGGGGAAGAACAAAUGUGUAAGUAACUAUGCACGUCUUGACGGUACCUAAUCAGAAAGCCACGGCUAACUACGGGC